rnacentral:misc_RNA from 1 species
CGUAGGUGAACCUGCGGAAGGAUCAUUAGCAAAUCCUAGCCGUUGUCGUGUUCGGCAAUGGUGAAGCACCGUGCACUGGGGACCGGAGAUGGGAGAGCCCCCGCUCGGCCUGUUGGAGGUGUGCGGCCGGCCGGUGACAACUCGGAUGCCGCACUCAAAUCAGCGGGAAUCACCACCGCCCGCUGGGCCUCCACCCGAGUUCUCCCGUCUUUGGUUUUUUUGGUGUUUUACAAACUUGUUUUGGUUGGUGUCGUGCGUUGGUCGAAAAGUUUGACAACUUCUGACGGUGGAUCUCUUGGCUCGUGCAUCGAUGAAGAACGCAGCAAGCUGCGAUACCUAGUGUGAAUUGCAGAAUUCAGUGAAUCAUCGAGUCUUUGAACGCAAAUGGCGCCCCCGGGGUCUCCUCGGGAGCAGGUCUGUCCGAGCGUCUGCCAACACGAUUCAUCGUCACCGCCACAGCGGUGAGAUGAGAUUGAGGGGCUGUGCUGUGCAACACCGUAGCGCCACUCACCCCUUGAAGGAAAAUGACUGUGCAGUCGACGUUGGGCCGUGGUAGUCUGCGGCGAGACCGUCGUCACAACGGUGUAACGUGUUGUUUCGUCGUUUCUCGCCGAAUUUACUGUCACCGGUCCCCACGGAUCUGCCGGCAUCGGGCCGA